AUUGAACGCUGGCGGCAUGCUUUACACAUGCAAGUCGAACGGCAGCACGGGAGCAAUCCUGGUGGCGAGUGGCGAACGGGUGAGUAAUAUGUCGGAACGUACCCAAUCGUGGGGGAUAACGUGGCGAAAGUCACGCUAAUACCGCAUGAGAUCUAAGGAUGAAAGCGGGGGACCGUAAGGCCUCGCGCGAUUGGAGCGGCCGACAUCAGAUUAGGUAGUUGGUAGGGUAAAGGCCUACCAAGCCUGCGAUCUGUAGCUGGUCUGAGAGGACGAUCAUCCACACGGGGACUGAGACACGGCCCAGACUCCUACGGGAGACAGCAGUGGGGAAUUUUGGGCAAUGGGCGCAAGCCUGAUCCAGCAAUGCCGCGUGCAGGAAGAAGGCCUUCGGGUUGUAAACUGCUUUUUUACGGGAAGAAACAGCGCGAUCUAAUACAUCGCGCGAAUGACGGUACCGUGAGAAUAAGCACCGGCUAACUACGUGCCAGCCGCCGCGGUAA
rnacentral:rRNA from 1 species